AGUGAACGCUGGCGGUAGGCCUAACACAUGCAAGUCGAACGGCAGCACAGUAAGAGCUUGCUCUUACGGGUGGCGAGUGGCGGACGGGUGAGGAAUACAUCGGAAUCUACUUUUUCGUGGGGGAUAACGUAGGGAAACUUACGCUAAUACCGCAUACGACCUACGGGUGAAAGCAGGGGAUCUUCGGACCUUGCGCGAUUGAAUGAGCCGAUGUCGGAUUAGCUAGUUGGCGGGGUAAAGGCCCACCAAGGCGACGAUCCGUAGCUGGUCUGAGAGGAUGAUCAGCCACACUGUAACUGAGACACGGUCCAGACUCCUACGGGAGGCAGCAGUGGGGAAUAUUGGACAAUGGGCGCAAGCCUGAUCCAGCCAUACCGCGUGGGUGAAGAAGGCCUUCGGCUUGUAAAGCCCUUUUGUUGGGAAAGAAAAGCAGCAGGUUAAUACCCCGCUGUUCUGACGGUACCCAAAGAAUAAGCACCGGCUAACUUCGUG
rnacentral:rRNA from 1 species